rnacentral:rRNA from 1 species
AGAUUGAACGCUGGCGGCAUGCCUAACACAUGCAAGUCGAACGGGAGUAGCAAUACUCUAGUGGCGGACGGGUGAGGAAUACGUAGGAAUUUGCCCUUAAGUGGGGGAUAACCCGGGGAAACCCGGAUUAAUACCGCAUGACCUCGAAAGAGCAAAGUGGGGGAUCGCAAGACCUCACGCUUUUGGAGAAGCCUACGUCGGAUUAGCUAGUUGGUGAGGUAAUGGCUCACCAAGGCGACGAUCCGUAACUGGUCUGAGAGGAUGAUCAGUCACACCGGAACUGAGACACGGUCC